UAAACCAAAAUGAUAGAGUUAUAAGUUUGGGUUGAAGGUAGUGAGAUAGUGAGGUAUUAAGUGUUUUAAAAAUUUUUUGUGGUUGGGUGAAAUCUAUUAUAAUUUAGUGUUUUUAUUGUUUCAUUUUUAUUGUUGCUACGAAGAUCUUAAAAUAAACUGGGAUUAGAUACCCCAUUAUUUAAGAUUGUUAAUUGGUUAUAUACCUACUUGAGUAUUACGGGCUAUGGCUUGAAAUUCAAAAAACUUGGCGGUGUUCUUGAUUUUUAGGGGAACUUGUUUUUUAAUCGAUGAUCCGCGUUAGACAUUACCUUAAUUUGUAUUCAGGUUGUAUAUCGUUGUCAUAAGUUGAUAUUGAGAGGUAUUGGCUAGUGAAUAUUUAAUUUUUAUGUCAGAUCAUGAUGCACUUUAUAUUAAGGGGAGAAUGAGUUACAAUUGUUAUAGUACAAUUAACGGAUAUUUAAAGGAAGAAUUUAUUAUUGAAGGCGGACUUAAAAGUAAACUAAUUGAGAUAGUUGGAUUGAAUAUAUAUCUGGAAUGUGU
rnacentral:rRNA from 1 species